AGGGUGUAAACGCUGCAGACUUGGUGUUGGAAGCCCUUUGGGGGCAUUCAGUGCCGGAGAGAAGUUGUUAAGUCUGCUACUUGGGGAGUACGUCCGCAAGGAUGAAACUUAAAGGAAUUGGCGGGGGAGCACCGCAACGGGAGGAGCGUGCGGUUUAAUUGGAUUCAACACCGUAAACUCACCAGGGAAGACUGUUACAUGAAGGCCGAGAUGAAGACUCUGCUAGAUUUUUCAGAGAGGAGGUGCAUGGCGUCAGUGACU
rnacentral:rRNA from 1 species